AUUGAACGCUGGUGGCAGGCCUAACACAUGCAAGUCGAACGGUAACAGGAAACAGCUUGCUGUUUCGCUGACGAGUGGCGGACGGGUGAGUAAUGUCUGGGAAACUGCCUGAUGGAGGGGGAUAACUACUGGAAACGGUAGCUAAUACCGCAUAACGUCGCAAGACCAAAGAGGGGGACCUUCGGGCCUCUUGCCAUCGGAUGUGCCCAGAUGGGAUUAGCUAGUAGGUGGGGUAACGGCUCACCUAGGCGACGAUCCCUAGCUGGUCUGAGAGGAUGACCAGCCACACUGGAACUGAGACACGGUCCAGACUCCUACGGGAGGCAGCAGUGGGGAAUAUUGCACAAUGGGCGCAAGCCUGAUGCAGCCAUGCCGCGUGUAUGAAGAAGGCCUUCGGGUUGUAAAGUACUUUCAGCGGGGAGGAAGGGAGUAAAGUUAAUACCUUUACUCAUUGACGUUACCCGCAGAAGAAGCACCGGCUAACUCCGUG
rnacentral:rRNA from 1 species